rnacentral:lncRNA from 1 species
GUAAAUAAUUGGAAUUACUUGUGCAUGCCAUUAUAGCUAUAAAUUCAUAUUGUGCAUUUGAAUAUUAUUUACAUAAACAGUGCUAUGAAAUUAUUAAAUGAAAUAAAAGAUUAUGAUAUAAAUAUAAAUAUACACCUAAUCCAGCUAUUUUGGGAGACAUUGUGUGGAUUCCAAUUUACCAUACUCAAUGGAAAGUAAUUGCAAGAC